rnacentral:lncRNA from 1 species
ACUAAACCACACCACACCAUACCAAAUCACCACACACACACACACACACACACACACACACACACACACACACACAUCACAUCAUACCACACCACACCACACCACACCGCACACCUGGAGAGAACACGGGAUAGCUGGCGGGGUGUAAGGUGCGUGGCGUCUACAUACGAGUGUGGUGGCAGGAAGUCAGCAUAGCGCGCCCCUCCGUACACCACAGGCACCAGGCCGUAUUUCAUAGGCAGCCACACCUUCCCCGUCACCACCAUCCCAGUAACAAGGCAAGCACGUAUUAAGACAAGUCCCCACACGCGCCGAACACGUCCACUUGUAUGUGUUGCUGAAGCUCCCUAAUAUAGAACUCUCGGCCUGCCAACAGGAUGAUUUUCCACAUGACAUUCCACCUGCACCACACAUACACCAAGUACAUAGGAAGAUAACAACAAAUGCACACCCACCUGAAGAAGUGCUGCAGUGCGACGCCAUCCAGACCGCCAACUUGGGCCGUUCCAGGAAGGCUGCCCACUCCUGCUGCUUGUCGUCCUGCAGCACGUCUCCGCGAUCCAGCGCCGCCACAUAAUUCUUAUCCGUCUUGAAUUGUUUUCGAGGUAGCUCCUCACGCUGCUCCUCUCCCGCCUCCAGGUCGAGUGUUGCAGUCACGCCCGAAAUAACGGGAGAACAGACAAUGUGUUCACCGUUGUUUGUUGUUUACUAGGGUCAGUGUUGUUCACCACCCAUAACACUAUAUCAUCAAAGUAGACAUUGCAUGAUUGAUCUUUCACCGAGUUUUACAUUAGAAGCUACCUACUUACUUACAUCAAGAGAUUUGGUGUAUAUUGUAUAGAUUGUUAUAGAUUGUCUUAGUGUUCCUCAUGAUAGUGAAAUAAAACAAUAAAGUGUUCCGUUAUUUACAUAGAGGAAACUUAAUCACUCGCUUCACUGACUCCGUUGUCUUGAGAUUCAUCCGUAGAUAGGUUUCUGAAGGGGAAUCAUGCGUUACUAUUGAAUUGCUGACUACUGUACUGUAUAUCCAUAUGCACUUCGUAACAACACACUAUUAAAUGCAAAGUUUUCUUGUCAUCAUCUCAGGACACUUAAAACCAUAUUUCUUUGGUUUUAGGGAUUGUAUAUUGCGAAAACCAACAGUGAAUAUGACUACAUCCACACCACAGCAUUCUGAAGUUACGAAAAUCAGAACACGCCACAUGUUCUUAUAACCGAAGGGGUCUCGCUUAUCACUGCUCACUACCUUCCUACGGGUUCUGUUCCCGCGAACACACUGAGUAGCAAAGAACUCCCUCUCCUCUCACUCAGUGUAUAUACCGUUCAUCAGGGAAGGAGGGGACGCAGGGGUUACGUGUGAGGAAAUGAUGAGUCGACGCCUUCUCCAUCUGUAGGAAUACCGGUAUACGGUAUUCCUACAAAUGGAAAAGGCGGGUUCACAAGUGCCAAUUUGCGACUGAAAUUGUAAGUCGCAAGAAGUAUCGACUGAGCUUUUCUAGUGGGAAAACGUCGCACAUAGCGACUGGAAAGUAUCGACUAGUUGGCGCUUUGGCUGGAAGUGAAUGUAAACAAACAGCUAGCCGCCAAGAUUUCUUCCAGGAACGAUGCUGAAACGAUGGUUGCUCUUCUUUUGGUACCGGAAGAGUUAACAGGAAAAAAAAAUCAUUGAGGAUACGUGCCUGGCUAAGUAGAAGGAAAGAAAGGAGUGUCUACCACACUAAUUUUAAGAAGACUAAGCACAAUCGCGA